rnacentral:rRNA from 1 species
UUUGGUUAAGUUAGAAAGGGCGCACGGUGGAUGCCUUGACACUAGGAGUCGAUGAAGGACGGGACUAACGCCGAUAUGCUUCGGGGAGCUGUAAGUAAGCUUUGAUCCGAAGAUUUCCGAAUGGGGAAACCCACCAUACGUAAUGGUAUGGUAUCCUUAUCUGAAUACAUAGGGUAAGGAAGACAGACCCAGGGAACUGAAACAUCUAAGUACCUGGAGGAAGAGAAAGCAAAUGCGAUUUCCUGAGUAGCGGCGAGCGAAACGGAACAUAGCCCAAACCAAGAGGCUUGCCUCUUGGGGUUGUAGGACAUUCUAUACGGAGUUACAAAGGAACGAGGUAGACGAAGCGACCUGGAAAGGUCCGUCGUAGAGGGUAACAACCCCGUAGUCGAAACUUCGUUCUCUCUUGAAUGUAUCCUGAGUACGGCGGAACACGUGAAAUUCCGUCGGAAUCUGGGAGGACCAUCUCCCAAGGCUAAAUACUCCCUAGUGAUCGAUAGUGAACCAGUACCGUGAGGGAAAGGUGAAAAGCCACCCGGAAGGGGAGUGAAAGAGAUCCUGAAACCGUGUGCCUACAAAUAGUCAGAGCCCGUUAACGGGUGAUGGCGUGCCUUUUGUAGAAUGAACCGGCGAGUUACGAUCCCGUGCGAGGUUAAGCUGAAGAGGCGGAGCCGCAGCGAAAGCGAGUCUGAAUAGGGCGUUUAGUACGUGGUCGUAGACCCGAAACCAGGUGAUCUACCCAUGUCCAGGGUGAAGUUCAGGUAACACUGAAUGGAGGCCCGAACCCACGCACGUUGAAAAGUGCGGGGAUGAGGUGUGGGUAGCGGAGAAAUUCCAAUCGAACCUGGAGAUAGCUGGUUCUCCCCGAAAUAGCUUUAGGGCUAGCCUUAAGUGUAAGAGUCUUGGAGGUAGAGCACUGAUUGGACUAGGGGUCCUCAUCGGAUUACCGAAUUCAGUCAAACUCCGAAUGCCAAUGACUUAUCCUUAGGAGUCAGACUGCGAGUGAUAAGAUCCGUAGUCAAAAGGGAAACAGCCCAGACCGCCAGCUAAGGUCCCAAAGUGUGUAUUAAGUGGAAAAGGAUGUGGAGUUGCUUAGACAACUAGGAUGUUGGCUUAGAAGCAGCCACCAUUUAAAGAGUGCGUAAUAGCUCACUAGUCGAGUGACUCUGCGCCGAAAAUGUACCGGGGCUAAAUACACCACCGAAGCUGCGGAUUGAUACCGAAUGGUAUCAGUGGUAGGGGAGCGUUCUAAGGACAGUGAAGUCAGACCGGAAGGACUGGUGGAGUGCUUAGAAGUGAGAAUGCCGGUAUGAGUAGCGAAAGACGGGUGAGAAUCCCGUCCACCGAAUGCCUAAGGUUUCCUGAGGAAGGCUCGUCCGCUCAGGGUUAGUCAGGACCUAAGCCGAGGCCGACAGGCGUAGGCGAUGGACAACAGGUUGAUAUUCCUGUACCACCUCUUUAUCGUUUGAGCAAUGGAGGGACGCAGAAGGAUAGAAGAAGCGUGCGAUUGGUUGUGCACGUCCAAGCAGUUAGGCUGAUAAGUAGGCAAAUCCGCUUAUCGUAAAGGCUGAGCUGUGAUGGGGAAGCUCCUUAUGGAGCGAAGUCUUUGAUUCCCCGCUGCCAAGAAAAGCUUCUAGCGAGAUAAAAGGUGCCUGUACCGCAAACCGACACAGGUAGGCGAGGAGAGAAUCCUAAGGUGUGCGAGAGAACUCUGGUUAAGGAACUCGGCAAAAUGACCCCGUAACUUCGGGAGAAGGGGUGCUUUCUUAACGGAAAGCCGCAGUGAAUAGGCCCAAGCGACUGUUUAGCAAAAACACAGCUCUCUGCGAAGCCGUAAGGCGAAGUAUAGGGGGUGACACCUGCCCGGUGCUGGAAGGUUAAGGAGAGGGGUUAGCGUAAGCGAAGCUCUGAACUGAAGCCCCAGUAAACGGCGGCCGUAACUAUAACGGUCCUAAGGUAGCGAAAUUCCUUGUCGGGUAAGUUCCGACCCGCACGAAAGGUGUAACGAUUUGGGCACUGUCUCAACCAGAGACUCGGUGAAAUUAUAGUACCUGUGAAGAUGCAGGUUACCCGCGACAGGACGGAAAGACCCCGUGGAGCUUUACUGUAGCCUGAUAUUGAAUUUUGGUACAGUUUGUACAGGAUAGGCGGGAGCCUUUGAAACCGGAGCGCUAGCUUCGGUGGAGGCGCUGGUGGGAUACCGCCCUGACUGUAUUGAAAUUCUAACCUACGGGUCUUAUCGACCCGGGAGACAGUGUCAGGUGGGCAGUUUGACUGGGGCGGUCGCCUCCUAAAGUGUAACGGAGGCGCCCAAAGGUUCCCUCAGAAUGGUUGGAAAUCAUUCGUAGAGUGCAAAGGCAUAAGGGAGCUUGACUGCGAGACCUACAAGUCGAGCAGGGACGAAAGUCGGGCUUAGUGAUCCGGUGGUUCCGCAUGGAAGGGCCAUCGCUCAACGGAUAAAAGCUACCCCGGGGAUAACAGGCUUAUCUCCCCCAAGAGUCCACAUCGACGGGGAGGUUUGGCACCUCGAUGUCGGCUCAUCGCAUCCUGGGGCUGUAGUCGGUCCCAAGGGUUGGGCUGUUCGCCCAUUAAAGCGGUACGCGAGCUGGGUUCAGAACGUCGUGAGACAGUUCGGUCCCUAUCCGUCGUGGGCGUAGGAAAUUUGAGAGGAGCUGUCCUUAGUACGAGAGGACCGGGAUGGACGCACCGCUGGUGUACCAGUUGUUCUGCCAAGGGCAUAGCUGGGUAGCUAUGUGCGGAAGGGAUAAGUGCUGAAAGCAUCUAAGCAUGAAGCCCCCCUCAAGAUGAGAUUUCCCAUAGCGUAAGCUAGUAAGAUCCCUGAAAGAUGAUCAGGUUGAUAGGUUCGAGGUGGAAGCAUGGUGACAUGUGGAGCUGACGAAUACUAAUAGAUCGAGGACUUAACCAUAUAA